GGGUUUGAUCCUGGCCCAGGAUGAACGCUAGCGGCGUGCCUUAGGCAUGCAAGUAGAGCGGGCCUCGCAAGAGGUCAGCUGCGAACGGCUGAGUACAAGAUAAGUAUCUACCCCUUGGCGGGGAAUACCUACUCGAAAGAGUAGCUAAUACCGCAUAAGACCGCAAGGUGAAAGGACGUAACUGUCCACCGAGGGAGGAGCUUAUCGCCCAUCAGCUUGUUGGUAGGGUAACGGCCUACCAAGGCUACGACGGGUAGGGGACGUGAGAGCGUGACCCCCCAGAAUAGGACUGAGACACGGCCUAUACACCUACGGGUGGCAGCAACCGGGAAUCGUGCGCAAUGGACGAAAGUCUGACGCCGCGACGCCGCGUGAGGGAUGAAGGCCUUCGGGUUGUAAACCUCUUUUGACGUAAGGGAGACCUUACGUAGAAUAAGCAUCCGCUAACUCUGUGCCAGCAGCUGCGGUAAUACAGAGGAUGCAAGCGUUAUCCGGAUUUAUUGGGCGUAAAGCGUUUCGUAGGCUGUAGGAUAAGUUGUCCUUCAAAGACCAGGGCUCAACCUUGGAAAGGGGGACAAUACUAUCCAACUUGAAAGAUUUCGGGGUUUUCGGAACUCUCGGUGUAGGAGUGAAAUCCGUUGAUAUCGAGAGGAACACCAAGGGCGAAGGCAGAAAACUAGGAAUUUUUUGACGCUGAGGAACGACAGCUAGGGGAGCGAAAGGGAUUAGAGACCCCUGUAGUCCUAGCCGUAAACUUUGCUCGCUAACCCGUUUUUUUAAAACGGGUGCAAGCUAACGCGUGAAGCGAGCCGCCUGGGGAGUACGAGCGCAAGCUUAAAACUCAAAGGAAUUGACGGGGACCUGCACAACCAGUGGAGCAUGUGGUUUAAUUCGAGACGAACCGAAGAACCUUACCCGGGUUUGACAUUCUACCGUUUUAGGAUUGUAGAAAUACGA
rnacentral:rRNA from 1 species